rnacentral:rRNA from 1 species
UUAUUGGGUCUAAGGGUCCGUAGCCGGUUUGAUCAGUCUUCCGGGAAAUCUGACAGCUCAACUGUUAGGCUUCUGGGGGAUACUGUCAGACUUGGAACCGGGAGAGGUAAGAGGUACUACAGGGGUAGGAGUGAAAUCUUGUAAUCCUUGUGGGACCACCAGUGGCGAAGGCGUCUUACCAGAACGGGUUCGACGGUGAGGGACGAAAGCUGGGGGCACGAACCGGAUUAGAUACCCGGGUAGUCCCAGCCGUAAACGAUGCUCGCUAGGUGUCUGGGAUGGUGCGACCGUUUCAGGUGCCGCAGGGAAGCCGUGAAGCGAGCCACCUGGGAAGUACGGCCGCAAGGCUGAAACUUAAAGGAAUUGGCGGGGGAGCACUACAACGGGUGGAGCCUGCGGUUUAAUUGGACUCAACGCCGGAAAACUCACCUGGGGCGACAGCAAUAUGUAGGUCAGGCUGAAGGUCUUACCUGAAUCGCUGAGAGGAGG